CGCGCAGGCGGCGGACCAAGUCAGGCGUGAAAGCCCCGGGCUUAACCUGGGAGGUGCGUCUGGGACUGGUAUGCUAGAGUUCGGGAGAGGAGAGUGGAAUUCCCAGUGUAGAGGUGAAAUUCGUAGAUAUUGGGAAGAACACCGGUGGCGAAGGCGGCUCUCUGGACCGAGACUGACGCUGAGGCGCGAAAGCGUGGGGAGCAAACA
rnacentral:rRNA from 1 species